UACAGAGGGUGCGAGCGUUGUCCGGAAUCACUGGGCGUAAAGCGCGCGUAGGCGGCUUUGUAAGUUAGAGGUGAAAGCCCGGAGCUCAACUCCGGAAUUGCCUUUAAGACUGCAUCGCUAGAACGUCGGAGAGGUAAGUGGAAUUCCACGUGUAGCGGCGAAAUGCGUAGAGAUGUGGAGGAACACCAGUGGCGAAGGCGACUCUUUGGUCUGUAACUGACGCUGAGGCGCGAAAGCGUGGGGAGCAAACAGG
rnacentral:rRNA from 1 species